rnacentral:lncRNA from 1 species
UAAAAGUUCAAUCAAAUGAGGCUGCACAAGAUGGGAAGUUUUUAAGGGUGUUGCCUCUUUACUGAUAUCUCGGUUUUUAAGGGUAAUAUUUUCUCUCUUUUUAAUAACGGUCUUCAUAUCACUAAGAUAAACCAUACUUGAUUGAGAAACCUUUAGCUUCUUCUUAAGUAUAUCAUGUCAAAGAGACAAGAACAUUCUAAUAACUGAAUAGGUGACAUGCCAAACCAUCCUGCUACCUCUUCAUUUCAAUCUUGUUUUGUGCAGAUUGGUAUCCUAUUUUUUAAUAUACGGAUAAGUAUCCUGUUUGACAGCUCUCUUUCCUAUUUUCCUCUUUGUAUAUUUGAAUCUUUGGUUGUUUUCCAUGAAAGCUGAAGUGUUCUACAUUAAAUAAGUAUUUACAAUUCCAAUCUACUAAAAUUCUCUAAAAGACUAGUUGUAUCUGGUAGUAAGUGUAAUGUAUCAACCUCCUGUUUUGUUGAGUUGCUACCACCAGUGCAAGGGUGGUGGAGUCUGCAACAUUUGCACAAGCAAAUAUCAUAAGUUGUACAUUAUUUCCUGCUGCGAGCGCGGAAAUGAACUCUACUCCGUUUGGUUCUGUAGCUUUCUUUCCCUGAAUUGGAUCAACAUAACAUUAGUAACAACUUGAGGAGAAAAAAAAUAUUUGAAUUGUAUAUCAAAUUUCAGAUAUGAUAAGUUCAUAAUUGUAAUUACCAUGUCCAUGGUUUUGAGAAAAGCUUUAGUGGCAUUUUCAGCAGACCAAUAACUCAUUUUCUGUUUCUUUGUAAUUUUCUGAAAUCUACAUUCUGCUUGGGUUAGUUUGGUAAGACAUCUACAUUCUUGCUGAUAGUUUCCUGUUUCUUCCUGCUUAAAAACCUAAUAUUGUCCUGUUUCUUCCUAUUUAACAACCCAUUUUCUGUUUCUUGCAACUUAACAGUAGAACUGCAACAACUAAAAGUUGAAAUCUAGGUUGUUUCUGAUCAAUUUCUUGCAGCAAUAUUGGCAGCAAAUCUGCAUCGGUGAGCUCUCAAGUUAGCUAUUUUUUGGUUUAAGUGUUCCUAUGUUAUUUGCUAACCUAUAUUGUGUUUGCUUUUCAAAAUCUGAAAAAUAUUUGUAUAGACAUAAAUCAAGAAGGGUGCUCAAGCAAAAAUAAGAAAAUAUCUAACCGUAUUCCAGCUUGAUCACUUGCAUCUUUGUGAAAUCAAAAGGUUUCGUCGUUGACAACAAAAAGAACCUUCCAAGCUACAAGGUCAAAUGAAAAUGAAGCACGACAGUCAGAAGGUGGAUUACCUUCAUCUUUGCGAAACCAAAAGGUUAUAUAUCUUCUUCUAUUUCUUCCU